rnacentral:rRNA from 1 species
GAUAAUAUAUUUUAAUCGCAUGGUAAAGAUAUCAAAGCUCCGGCGGUACAGGAUGGACCCGCGUCUGAUUAGCUAGUUGGUGAGGUAAUGGCUCACCAAGGCGACGAUCAGUAGCCGACCUGAGAGGGUGAUCGGCCACACUGGAACUGAGACACGGUCCAGACUCCUACGGGAGGCAGCAGUGGGGAAUAUUGCACAAUGGGCGAAAGCCUGAUGCAGCAACGCCGCGUGAGCGAUGAAGGCCUUCGGGUCGUAAAGCUCUGUCCUCAAGGAAGAUAAUGACGGUACUUGAGGAGGAAGCCCCGGCUAACUACGUGCCAGCAGCCGCGGCAAUACGUAGGGGGCUAGCGUUACCCGGAAUUACUGGGCGUAAAGGGUGCGUAGGCGGUCUUUCAAGCCAGAAGUGAAAGGCUACGGCUCAACCGUAGUAAGCUUUUGGAACUGUAAGACUUGAGUGCAGGAGAGGAGAGUGGAAUUCCUAGUGUAGCGGUGAAAUGCGUAGAUAUUAGGAGGAACACCAGUGGCGAAGGCGGCUCUCUGGACUGUAACUGACGCUGAGGCACGAAAGCGUGGGGAGCAAAAAGGAUCAGAUACCCUGGUAGUCCACGCCGUAAACGAUGAGUACUAGGUGUCGGGGGUUACCCCCCUCGGUGCCGCAGCUAACGCAUUAAGUACUCCGCCUGGGAAGUACGCUCGCAAGAGUGAAACUCAAAGGAAUUGACGGGGACCCGCACAAGUAGCGGAGCAUGUGGUUUAAUUUGAAGCAACGCGAAGGACCUUACCUAAGCUUGACAUCCCAUUGACCUCUCCCUAAUCGGAGAUUUCCCUUCGGGGACAGUGGUGACAGGUGGUGCAUGGUUGUCGUCAGCUCGUGUCGUGAGAUGUUGGGUUAAGUCCCGCAACGAGCGCAACCCUUGCCUUUAGUUGCCAGCAUUAAGUUGGGCACUCUAGAGGGACUGCCGAGGAUAACUCGGAGGAAGGUGGGGAUGACGUCAAAUCAUCAUGCCCCUUAUGCUUAGGGCUACACACGUGCUACAAUGGGUGGUACAGAGGGUUGCCAAACCGUGAGGUGGAGCUAAUCCCUUAAAGCCAUUCUCAGUUCGGAUUGUAGGCUGAAACUCGCCUACAUGAAGCUGGAGUUACUAGUAAUCGCAGAUCAGAAUGCUGCGGUGAAAAAGUUCCCGGGUCUU